rnacentral:rRNA from 1 species
GACGAACGCUGGCGGCGUGCUUAACACAUGCAAGUCGAACGGAAAGGCGCUGCGUUUGUGGGUUGCUCGAGAGGCGAACGGGUGAGUGAAACGUGAGUAACAUGCCCUUGACUUUGGGAUAAAUUCACGGAACUCGGGCUAAUACCGGAGAGGAGCUCCUGCUCCGUGGUGGGGGUUAGAAAGUUGCGGCGGUUCGGGCUGGACGCGCUGCUUAUCAGCUUGCUGGGCGGGUAGUGGUUGACCAAGUCUUCGAGGGGUAGCCGGCCUGGGAGCGGUAACAGGCACAAUGGGACUGAGAGACGGAGCAGAAGGGAACGGGAGGCAGCAGUGGGGAACAUGGCGGAACGGGCGGAAGUCUGAUACAGCGACGCCGCGUUCGGGAUGAUGGCCUACGGGUGGAAAACAGCUGUGGCAGGUGACGAAGAGUGCGUGACGGUAAUGGGUAAAGAAGCACCGGCUAACUACGUG